UACGUAGGGAGCAAGCGUUGUCCGGAAUCAUUGGGCGUAAAGCGCGCGUAGGCGGCCCUGUAAGUCCGUUGUGAAAGUCAAAGGCUCAACCUUUGAAAGCCGAUGGAUACUGCAGGGCUAGAGUCCGGAAGAGGCGAAGUGGAAUUCCUGGUGUAGCGGUGGAAUGCGCAGAUAUCAGGAGGAACACCAAUAGCGAAGGCAGCUCGCUGGGACGGUACUGACGCUAAGGCGCGAAAGCGUGGGGAGCGAACG
rnacentral:rRNA from 1 species